rnacentral:lncRNA from 1 species
AACAUCUCAACAAUUUGAGACCAAACUCCAUAAUUGGCACCAUUGAGUUUGAUGCCAAUCGAAGCAGUAGACGAAUCAUAAUGGACAAUCUAUGUAACAACUUGCGAUAUAGGUAGGGUAGGAUUCAUGGUAGGGUCGGUUGGGGUAGUAGUGUUUAGGGUUGUAGUGUUUAGUGUAGGGGUGGAAUCGAUUAGGAUGAGGUUGUUUCCACCGUGGAGUGGUGGUAGGUUCUCCAUGGGAGGGCCGAGUUUGCUUAAGGGAACGGGCAGAGCAGAAAUCCUAGGAUCUUUGCUCUGAUACCAUGCUAAU